rnacentral:rRNA from 1 species
UACGGAGGGUGCAAGCGUUAAUCGGAAUUACUGGGCGUAAAGCGCACGCAGGUGGCUGAGUCAGUCGAUUGUGAAAGCCCUGGGCUUAACCUGGGAAUUGCAGUCGAUACUACUCAGCUAGAGUAUGGGAGAGGGUAGUGGAAUUCCCGGUGUAGCGGUGGAAAUGCGUAGAUAUCGGGAGGAACAUCAGUGGCGAAGGCGGCUGACCUG